rnacentral:miRNA from 1 species
UUUGUAUUACGUGCGGAAAUUGUUAUCAUUUUCAGCUCAAAAAUGGUAACAAUUUCCGCACGUAAUACAAA